CCCAGGGCAAAUAUGUGGCAGGUUCCACUGCCACAAAGGCUGGGGCUUGCUCUUCUUCGUGGCCAGACUGUGUGUUAGAAUUUUUAGAAAUAAUUUUUAAAAACAGUAUUUUAGUUUGGUUUCUGUGCUUUUGCAAUCCUUUCUUUGUUCCCCAUUUAUACAGAUGCUUUGAGAAAAAGAGGACAUCCUGAUCUGGGCUUUCCGGGGUCUCAUGGAUCACGGCCAGUCUUGUUUUCUCCAGACUUUGCUUAUAAACAAAGGCAGCACCUUCCUGUUCCUUCCCAGAGUAACACUUAGCCAUAUGACUCUGACCCUCCCACCACUAGCUGAGCAGAAGGAAAAGGGACCUCUCUGGUAUGAGAAGUUGUGGUGUCCAGGAGAAGAUCCACUUUGCUCAUAAGUGGCAGCUGAGAGUGGAGCUCACCAGUGGAACACCUUAUGCCUGGCAUUGCUCUCCCAAUCAGUGGGAAGCUGGUGCUUCCUCAGCAUCACAGAAGACCAAGGCUUCCCAAGUCAUCUCAUUUCCCAGCAUGGAUGCCCUGGUAUGCCCUUCUUGGCUGCUGAGCCUGAUAGAUUGGUAGGAGAAAAAGACACCACAGUGAAGCCUGCAUGGACUAUUUGCACCUCCCAGCAGCUGCACCUUCCUCUCUGAAAGGUUCAGGUACCAUUUCCUGCUUCAUUGAAGGAUUUACUUUGCAAGAGGACCCAUAGACACUUACUUGAAUUACUGGAAACAUGCUCAUAAAGACAACUGAAACAUUUGUCUUCAUGUCUGGGACAUCCUUCCUAAAUCUUUCUACUUCCCAAAAGGGUCUCUCUGCACCAUGCCCAAAGAAGGCAUUUCCUCUACUUCACAGGUUUCAGAGUUGGUCAGCUAAGAAAUCUUGGGCUGCUGCUUGGUACUAGGGAUGGCAUUACAGACUCACAUAUUUCUCACACAGGUGCAUAUGUUUUUCUGAAGACACAGAUCCUCCAAGUCAGCAAUAUCUGGAAUGACUAGUAGGGUCAUAGCUGUUGUUGUAUGAGGAUUAGUGAAUGGUGGUCAGAAAAUGCAUAUUACUUUUCAUGCAGGUCUGAUUUCUAAUCAAAUCUGAGAUAAAUUUGGAGUAAAGAUCAGAGGAAAGGAAAUGUUUAACUUUCUGAGACUCUUACUGUCAACUUCUAUCUCAGAUGCCCCAACAGAGAUUUUACUGUAGCAUACCAUUUAAGCAAAAUGUCCCAGCAUCAGGAUUUCUCAAUUUUCACUUUUUGUCCCUUGCAAUGUGACUCCAUUUCAUGCUGUGCUCUAUCCACAGCUGUUCACCACCUCCCUAAUAAUUCCUGCCACUUGCCAGGGAAUGCUGCUCCAUCUGACAUCUGUCCUGCAGAUGAAGGACCCCCUUCUCCCCUCACAGAGCUGAGCACCAAGCAGUGACAGAGCUGCACAGCACCACCCACAGCCCCAUCCCUUUCCUGUCAUGCAUGGCACUUGCCAUCAUGCCUGGCCCAGGACUGCAAACCUGCAGCUUGGUCUCUGAACCAGGCUUUCUGCUCAGGUGGGGAUUCCAGCAACUCCUCACCUGUCCCAUCCUGUUCUGCCCUCCCAGUCUCCACAACAUAAACCCAUCCAUGCUAUCUUGGCUUCCCUUGCUGUGUUUUAUGACAGCUGGGCCACCUCCAGAUUGAAAAAGUCUGAAUUAAAAUAAAAGGGAGAAGUCAUUUGGUUCAUUUACCCUUGUAAAAUUUUGUAUUAUAUCAAGUUUUGAAGUUUGGAGCAGCCCCUGCAUGGAAUAAUCCAAUUGCCUUGCCAUUAAAAAUAGACCCUAAUCCAGCUCCAGGUGAGCUGAGCAUCAGUUUCCAAGGAUGUGUUUAUCACAUGUGCUCUAAAAUGAAAAUGUAGCUAGUAAUCUUGCUAGACAUUAACAAGACUUUUAACAUUAUCACCACGAGUCAUUCACUGGCCAAAUAUCCACAAGGAUUUUAUUUGAGAGAAAAAAGUUGGUAAAACUAUUCAUCAGUAUUGUGGCAUCCACGACCUUAGAUCAAAACCUGUGGGGAUGUAGGGAGACUCCCAUUAACUUCAAAGUGAGAAUGUGACUUAAUGAAUUGAACAUACAUGAAACAAGGCCCUUAGAAAUGAACCCUUUGGAUAUUCUGCGUCUAAUUAUUUUCUAAUUAUCUAAAAGAUCAUCUAAGCUUCUUUUUAAGCUUCUUAUAAACCAACCAAAGUUAAUUAUGCUACUAUUUGCAUUAGUAUGACUUAUUAUAAAUAAUAAUGUGAAUAUUUAUCUAUCUCAGGGAUAUAUUAAAAAGAACCUCAGGGAAAUGAGGCCAUACAGAGAAUUUUGCUGCAGGAAAAAAUUUUUUAAGGGAAUAGUGAUUUUGAGUGACUCAGGUUUAAAAACUUCAGAGCACUUUUCAGUUAAAAUAUUGACUAAUUAAAGACUAACUAAUAUAAUUAUUACCCAGUCCAGAAAAUAUUAGUCUAUUUCUCACAAGAAGAGAGGACAUAGAUUCCACACCUACCUUUUCAGGAACUUUCUCUCUGAUUAAAUAGUCUUAUAAGAAUAUUUCUUAUGUAGGAGUGAAACUGUGUAAAAACAAUUCACUCAGCCAAAACAAGCAAACAAACAAGACCCCAAAGUCAUUUGAAAUGCUUCUGUUUUUAGUGGCAUAGCUAUGGAAUGAAUCAGCAUUAAAACAAAGAAAACUGAGCUUCUUUCCUUUUUUUUCCCUUUGUAAACCAUUCAGUUUGAAUAAUCCACUUCUUUAAAAAAAGCAUCCGCACAUCAAUUACCCAAGCACUUGAGAAUGCCAUAAUCUCAUUUUGUGACCAGGAUGUGAAAUUCAAAUGUCAACCGAUUCUAUCAGUAAAUGACAUUUUGGUGCCUUGUACUAGAUAUUGCACUAUAUCAAAAACUCCCCAGCUUCUUUUGGUUGUUUUUAGACACAUGUAAGACAAGACAGCUAUAGUAUUUAUUUUGUAGAUUCAUCAGAGAGAUAGAUAGGACUGGUUUUAUCAGACCCUUGGUAAAGACAAAGGGAUUUUUAAUUCACUUUAUGAAGUCACAGUAUAAACUCAGUGCUGGGCUGUAAAUGUUGCAGGUGUAUUAUUUCCCAUGUACAUUUUUGACACAUGCACUCAGAUAUUUUCACCACUAGAUCUGUAGAUUUAGUUCUGUAUGGGCAAAAAUGGAGUCUACUAAAGGCACAGUAGAAAAUGUAUCCCUAAAAUAUUGAUUACUUUCUUGGUUGUUAAAUCAUUAU